rnacentral:rRNA from 1 species
UUAGAGUUUCCUUCUGGCUCAGGAUGAACGCUGGCGGCGUGCUUAACACAUGCAAGUCGAGCGAAGCAUUUAAUUCGAAGUUUUCGGAUGGAGAGUUAUCUGACUGAGCGGCGGACGGGUGAGUAACGCGUGGGGAACCUGCCUCAUACAGGGGAAUAACAGUUAGAAAUGACUGCUAAUGCCGCAUAAGCGCACAGUACCGCAUGGUACAGUGUGAAAAACUCCGGUGGUAUGAGAUGGCCCCGCGUCUGAUUAGGCAGUUGGCGGGGUAACGGCCCACCAAACCGACGAUCAGUAGCCGACCUGAGAGGGUGACCGGCCACAUUGGGACUGAGACACGGCCCAAACUCCUACGGGAGGCAGCAGUAGGGAAUCUUCCACAAUGGACGAAAGUCUGAUGGAGCAACGCCGCGUGAGUGAAGAAGGGUUUCGGCUCGUAAAGCUCUGUUGGUAGUGAAGAAAGAUAGAGGUAGUAACUGGCCUUUAUUUGACGGUAAUUACUUAGAAAGUCACGGCUAACUACGUGCCAGCAGCCGCGGUAAUACGUAGGUGGCAAGCGUUGUCCGGAUUUAUUGGGCGUAAAGCGAGUGCAGGCGGUUCAAUAAGUCUGAUGUGAAAGCCUUCGGCUCAACCGGAGAAUUGCAUCAGAAACUGUUGAACUUGAGUGCAGAAGAGGAGAGUGGAACUCCAUGUGUAGCGGUGGAAUGCGUAGAUAUAUGGAAGAACACCAGUGGCGAAAGGCGGCUCUCUGGUCUGCAACUGACGCUGAGGCUCGAAAGCAUGGGUAGCGAACAGGAUUAGAUACCCUGGUAGUCCAUGCCGUAAACGAUGAGUGCUAAGUGUUGGGAGGUUUCCGCCUCUCAGUGCUGCAGCUAACGCAUUAAGCACUCCGCCUGGGGAGUACGACCGCAAGAAUGAAACUCAAAGGAAUUGACGGGGGCCCGCACAAGCGGUGGAGCAUGUGGUUUAAUUCGAAGCAACGCGAAGAACCUUACCAGGUCUUGACAUCCAGUGCAAACCUAAGAGAUUAGGUGUUCCCUUCGGGGACGCUGAGACAGGUGGUGCAUGGCUGUCGUCAGCUCGUGUCGUGAGAUGUUGGGUUAAGUCCCGCAACGAGCGCAACCCUUGUCAUUAGUUGCCAUCAUUAAGUUGGGCACUCUAAUGAGACUGCCGGUGACAAACCGGAGGAAGGUGGGGAUGACGUCAAGUCAUCAUGCCCCUUAUGACCCGGGCUACACACGUGCUACAAUGGACGGUACAACGAGAAGCGAACCUGCGAAGGCAAGCGGAUCUCUUAAAGCCGUUCUCAGUUCGGACUGUAGGCUGCAACUCGCCUACACGAAGCUGGAAUCGCUAGUAAUCGCGGAUCAGCACGCCGCGGUGAAUACGUUCCCGGGCCUUGCACACACCGCCCGUCA